AAGAUAAAAUUUAAAGAACAUUAACAAAAUUAACAACUCUACAGUAAUUAACAAACAAUAAAUUUUAAAAAACAACAAAAAAAGAAAAAACAAAUCUUAGCAAUUGAAUUAAAAAAACAAUUAACAAAUCAUAAAAUUUAAAAAGCGACAACAAAGCCAAUAACUCUUAACAAUCGAACUCAAAAAAUGGUAAUUAACAAACCAAAAAUUCUAGCGAGAACCUAAUGCUGGGACACUACAACUCUUAAAUCAGGCAAGGGGAACUGAUUUGGUCUUGACAAUGGUGAAAUCAGCAGGUGUGCCACUCCUUUCUCUCCCAUCGCUAGCCUUUCUUCCUCUUUCUCUCUGUAAAAGUGCUCCCUAGAGGCCUUUUUUGUCUCCAGAUGCUUUUUCCUUUUCCCAGGGGGAGCAGUCUACGCUUCUCAUUUACUUUCAAAGCCUCGUUUUUAUUGUAACAAGACCCAGUGCCACUUGCUCUAUUUCCUGUACAUGUAUCCAUAAGCUUUACUUUGUUUGCUUUUUUGAGUUCCUCCAUCUUGUAAUAGCGCGUAUUUUCCAUUCACUUUUUGGAUAUUUAUCAUAAAUUAACCCC
rnacentral:lncRNA from 1 species